CUGCAUUUUCCUUUUCUAUAACCUUGGUAAGAAAAUCUGAGCUAUCCAAAUUGUCCCAGUCUGAAAUCAAUUGUUUCACAAGCAAAAAAUACUGUGGCAACAUAUUACCAAGGCAUGACUGUAUUUUAAAGAUAUCUAUAUCAUCUCCAGACAUCAAACCUGCCUCAUCCUUCCAACACUUGUAAAAUUUCUUUACAAAAAUCAUAUUACCGAUCUCUUCC